UACGGAGGGGACUAGCGUUGUUUGGAAUUACUGGGCGUAAAGCGCGCGCAGGCGGCAUGGCAAGUAAGGUGUGAAAUCUCCCUGCCUAACGGGGAGGGUGCACUUUAGACUGCCAAGCUAGAGGACGGUUAGAGGGGGGUAGAAUUGCUGGUGUAGCGGUGAAAUGCGUAGAGAUCGGCAGGAACACCCAGGGGGAAACCAGCCGACUGGGCAUCGUACUGACGCUGAGGUGCGAGAGCGUGGGGAGCGAACCGG
rnacentral:rRNA from 1 species